CCUGUCCUUAGUACGAGAGGACCGGGAUGGACGUACCUCUGGUGUACCAGUUGUCCUGCCAAGGGCAUGGCUGGGUAGCUAUGUACGGAAUGGAUAAGCGCUGAAAGCAUCUAAGCGCGAAGCCAACUUCAAGAUAAGAUUUCCCACCGCAAGGGUAAGACCCCAGAAAGACUAGCUGGUUGAUAGGUCGAAGGUGUAAGUGCAGCAAUGUAUUUAGCUUAUCGAUACUAAUAGGUCGAGGACUUGACCAAU
rnacentral:rRNA from 1 species